rnacentral:rRNA from 1 species
AUUGAACGCUGGCGGCAGGCUUAACACAUUCAAGUCGAACGAGUGGCGGACGGGUGGGUAAUGUCUGGGAAACUGCCCGAUGGAGGGGGAUAACUACUGGAAACGGUAGCUAAUACCGCAUACCAUCAGAUGUGCCCAGAUGGGCUUAGCUAGUAGGUGGGGUACAGGCGCACCUAGGCGACGAUCCCUAGCUGGUCUGAGAGGAUGACCAGCCACACUGGAACUGAGACACGGUACAGACUCCUACGGGAAGCAGCAGUGGGGAAUAUUGGACAAUGGGCGCAAGCCUGAUGCAACCAUGCCGCGUGUAUGAAGAAGGCCUUCGGGUUGUAAAGCACUUUCAGCGAGGAGGCGUUACUCGCAGAAGAAGCACCGGCUAACUCCGUGCCAGCGGCCGCGGUAAUAC